GUGUGGUGCAAAGGAUGGAAGGUUAGCAGUCCUCUUACAAGGAGGGAAACACCCUUGGGCCUGUAUACCACACAGAUAGCUAAGGCAUCGCCCUCUCCUUGUCAGGUAGCAUCUCAACUUGGUUUU
ensembl:snRNA